AUUGAACGCUGGCGGCAGGCCUAACACAUGCAAGUCGAGCGGCAGCGGGAAAGUAGCUUGCUACUUUUGCCGGCGAGCGGCGGACGGGUGAGUAAUGCCUGGGAAAUUGCCCAGUCGAGGGGGAUAACAGUUGGAAACGACUGCUAAUACCGCAUACGCCCUACGGGGGAAAGCAGGGGACCUUCGGGCCUUGCGCGAUUGGAUAUGCCCAGGUGGGAUUAGCUAGUUGGUGAGGUAAUGGCUCACCAAGGCGACGAUCCCUAGCUGGUCUGAGAGGAUGAUCGGCCACACUGGAACUGAGACACGGUCCAGACUCCUACGGGAGGCAGCAGUGGGGAAUAUUGCACAAUGGGGAAACCCUGAUGCAGCCAUGCCGCGUGUGUGAAGAAGGCCUUCGGGUUGUAAAGCACUUUCAGCGAGGAGGAAAGGUUGAUGCCUAAUACGUAUCAACUGUGACGUUACUCGCAGAAGAAGCACCGGCUAACUCCGUGCCAGCCGCCGCAGUAA
rnacentral:rRNA from 1 species